rnacentral:rRNA from 1 species
CCGCGGUAAUACGUAGGGGGCAAGCGUUAUCCGGAUUUACUGGGUGUAAAGGGAGCGUAGGUGGUUCGGCAAGUCAGAUGUGAAAGCCCGGGGCUCAACCCCGGGACUGCAUUUGAAACUGUCGGACUAGAGUGCAGGAGAGGUAAGUGGAAUUCCUAGUGUAGCGGUGAAAUGCGUAGAUAUUAGGAGGAACACCAGUGGCGAAGGCGGCUUACUGGACUGUAACUGACACUGAGGCUCGAAAGCGUGGGGAGCAAACAGG